CGUAGGAGGCGAGCGUUGUCCGGAAUCAUUGGGCGUAAAGAGCGCGCAGGCGGCUUGGCAAGUCGGGUGUGAAAUCCCGGGGCUCAACCCCGUGACUGCAUUCGAUACUGUCAGGCUAGAGGUAGGUAGGGGAGAUCGGAAUUCCUGGUGUAGCGGUGAAAUGCGCAGAUAUCAGGAGGAACACCGGUGGCGAAGGCGGAUCUCUGGGCCUUACCUGACGCUCAGGCGCGAAAGCUAGGGGAGCGAACAGGAUUAGAUACCCUGGUAGUCCUAGCCGUAAACGUUGGGUGCUAGGUGUGGGCGGAUAUCAACCCCGUCCGUGCCGAAGCUAACGCAUUAAGCACCCCGCCUGGGGAGUGCGGCCGCAAGGCUA
rnacentral:rRNA from 1 species